rnacentral:rRNA from 1 species
CCUAUAAGACUGGGAUAACUUCGGGAAACCGGAGCUAAUGCCGGAUAACAUAUAGAACCGCAUGGUUCUAUAGUGAAAGAUGGUUUUGCUAUCACUUAUAGAUGGACCCGCGCCGUAUUAGCUAGUUGGUAAGGUAAUGGCUUACCAAGGCGACGAUACGUAGCCGACCUGAGAGGGUGAUCGGCCACACUGGAACUGAGACACGGUCCAGACUCCUACGGGAGGCAGCAGUAGGGAAUCUUCCGCAAUGGGCGAAAGCCUGACGGAGCAACGCCGCGUGAGUGAUGAAGGCUUUCGGAUCGUAAAACUCUGUUAUUAGGGAAGAACAAAUGCGUAAGUAACUGUGCGCAUCUUGACGGUACCUAAUCAGAAAGCCACGGCUAACUACGUGCCAGCAGCCGCGGUAAUACGUAGGUGGCAAGCGUUAUCCGGAAUUAUUGGGCGUAAAGCGCGCGUAGGCGGUUUCUUAAGUCUGAUGUGAAAGCCCACGGCUCAACCGUGGAGGGUCAUUGGAAACUGGGAAACUUGAGUGCAGAAGAGGAAAGUGGAAUUCCAUGUGUAGCGGUGAAAUGCGCAGAGAUAUGGAGGAACACCAGUGGCGAAGGCGACUUUCUGGUCUGUAACUGACGCUGAUGUGCGAAAGCGUGGGGAUCAAACAGGAUUAGAUACCCUGGUAGUCCACGCCGUAAACGAUGAGUGCUAAGUGUUAGGGGGUUUCCGCCCCUUAGUGCUGCAGCUAACGCAUUAAGCACUCCGCCUGGGGAGUACGACCGCAAGGUUGAAACUCAA